ACGAACGCUGGCGGCGCGCCUAACACAUGCAGGUCGAACGAGCGAGAGAGAGCUUGCUUUCUUGAGCGAGUGGCGAACGGGUGAGUAACGCGUGAGGAACCUGCCUCAAAGAGGGGGACAACAGUUGGAAACGACUGCUAAUACCGCAUAAGCCCACGACCCGGCAUCGGGUUGAGGGAAAAGGAGCAAUCCGCUUUGAGAUGGCCUCGCGUCCGAUUAGCUAGUUGGUGAGGUAACGGCCCACCAAGGCGACGAUCGGUAGCCGGACUGAGAGGUUGAACGGCCACAUUGGGACUGAGACACGGCCCAGACUCCUACGGGAGGCAGCAGUGGGGAAUAUUGCACAAUGGGGGAAACCCUGAUGCAGCGACGCCGCGUGGAGGAAGAAGGUCUUCGGAUUGUAAACUCCUGUUGUUGAGGAAGAUAAUGACGGUACUCAACAAGGAAGUGACGGCUAACUACGUG
rnacentral:rRNA from 1 species